AUGAAGCACCUUCGGGUGUGAAUUAGCGGCGAACGGGUGAGGAACACGUGAAGAAUCUGCCUUCAACUCUGGGAUAACUCCGGGAAACCGGGGCUAAUACCGGAUAUGAGCCUUGAUCGCAUGAUCGGGGCUGGAAAGUUUUUCGGUUGAAGAUGACUUCGCGGCCUAUCAGCUUGUUGGUGAGGUAAUGGCUCACCAAGGCGACGACGGGUAGCCGGCCUGAGAGGGCGACCGGCCACACUGGGACUGAGACACGGCCCAGACUCCUACGGGAGGCAGCAGUGGGGAAUAUUGGGCAAUGGAGGAAACUCUGACCCAGCGACGCCGCGUGAGGGAUGAAGGCCUUCGGGUUGUAAACCUCUUUCAGUAGGGAAGAAGCGAAAGUGACGGUACCUACAGAAGAAGCACCGGCUAACUAUGUGCCAGCAGCCGCGGUAAUACAUAGGGUGCAAGCGUUGUCCGGAAUUAUUGGGCGUAAAGAGCUCGUAGGUGGUUCGAUACGUCGGAUGUGAAAACCUGAGGCUCAACCUCAGGCCUGCAUUCGAUACGGGCAAACUAGA
rnacentral:rRNA from 1 species